rnacentral:rRNA from 1 species
UGGGGGAUAUUGCACAAUGGGGGAAACCCUGAUGCAGCAACGCCGCGUGAAGGAAGAAGGUCUUCGGAUUGUAAACUUUUGUCCUCAGUGAAGAUAAUGACGGUAGCUGAGGAGGAAGCUCCGGCUAACUACGUGCCAGCAGCCGCGGUAAUACGUAGGGAGCGAGCGUUGUCCGGAUUUACUGGGUGUAAAGGGUGCGUAGGCGGACUGACAAGUCAGUGGUGAAAACUAUGGGCUUAACCCAUAGACUGCCAUUGAAACUGUUGGUCUUGAGUGAAGUAGAGGCAGGCGGAAUUCCCGGUGUAGCGGUGAAAUGCGUAGAGAUCGGGAGGAACACCAGUGGCGAAGGCGGCCUGCUGGGCUUUAACUGACGCUGAGGCACGAAAGUGUGGGUAGCAAACA